AGAGUUUGAUCCUGGCUCAGGAUGAACGCUAGCGGCAGGCCUAACACAUGCAAGUCGAGGGGCAGCACGGUGUAGCAAUACACUGGUGGCGACCGGCGCACGGGUGCGUAACGCGUAUGCAACCUACCCAUAACAGGGGGAUAACACUGAGAAAUUGGUACUAAUACCCCAUAACAUCAGGACCGGCAUCGGUUCUGGUUGAAAACUCCGGUGGUUAUGGAUGGGCAUGCGUUGUAUUAGCUGGUUGGUGAGGUAACGGCUCACCAAGGCAACGAUACAUAGGGGGACUGAGAGGUUAACCCCCCACAUUGGUACUGAGACACGGACCAAACUCCUACGGGAGGCAGCAGUGAGGAAUAUUGGUCAAUGGACGCAAGUCUGAACCAGCCAUGCCGCGUGCAGGAAGACGGCUCUAUGAGUUGUAAACUGCUUUUGUACGAGAGUAAACGCUCUUACGUGUAAGAGCCUGAAAGUAUCGUACGAAUAAGGAUCGGCUAACUCCGUGCCAGCAGCCGCGGUAAUACGGAGGAUCCAAGCGUUAUCCGGAUUUAUUGGGUUUAAAGGGUGCGUAGGCGGUUUGAUAAGUUAGAGGUGAAAUACCGGUGCUUAACACCGGAACUGCCUCUAAUACUGUUGAACUAGAGAGUAGUUGCGGUAGGCGGAAUGUAUGGUGUAGCGGUGAAAUGCUUAGAGAUCAUACAGAACACCGAUUGCGAAGGCAGCUUACCAAACUAUAUCUGACGUUGAGGCACGAAAGCGUGGGGAGCAAACAGGAUUAGAUACCCUGGUAGUCCACGCAGUAAACGAUGAUAACUCGCUGUCGGCGAUACACAGUCGGCGGCUAAGCGAAAGCGAUAAGUUAUCCACCUGGGGAGUACGUUCGCAAGAAUGAAACUCAAAGGAAUUGACGGGGGCCCGCACAA
rnacentral:rRNA from 1 species